ensembl:lincRNA
GGAGCUCGGCCCGGGCUGUUCGCUGGGCCGGGAGGCGGCAGCGCCCCCGGGGCCCCCUAGUUCGGACUAUCCAUUCAAGUUCCUGGGGCCCUGCGCCCGAUUCGGAGGUGGCACCCGCCGCCCUCCCUGCCUCUGUGCCCCCGUUUCCAGCCACCGCGCGGAAAUUUAGGUCAAGGACGCCGGGAGCACACCCACACCCUGCGCUCCCAGGGCAGUCCUCGAGAACCCCGGGAUCUGGGGGGCUUGCGGAUGGAGGAGACCCUCAUGCACGAACACCAGCCACAAGUUUUAUUUUCCCUUCGCGCGGCAAGUUCUCUGGCUCCCGCUCCACACUGGCACGUCCUGCACGGCUCCCCGCCCUUCCCCGGCAGAGGAUUAGGAGACAAUGGAAUUCACUCAUCACCAAAACUAUGCCGUGUCCAUUGUGGGUUUGGAGACAUUUGGAAAAAUCUCAACACAGCCAAAGCUUUUGAGUGGUCAGACUGUCAAUCUCUCUGUCCCCUAAACUGGGGUAGUGCCUCUCUGACAGCAUGGAUGGGCGGAGCAUUUGUAGUGAACAAUGUAACAAUGUCAAAGUCCCUUUUUAAAAUUGUGUACUUACAUGGACUGUGUUUAUUAUGGAUUGUGAAUAUGAUUUUUAGAAGGCACUUCAUAAGACUUCAGACCACAAACCCUGCUGUUUCCCAACACUCCAAACAAACUGAUUUUUGAAUCAUCUGGGUUCCCAUGUGUUAAAGAGCUGCAUGUUUUUAUGAUGGUAAUUGUUUUUUUGUGAUUAUUCACAAUCACAAAGUACAGGCAACACAGCUAAUUGGAUUAUAUUUUGGAUUUUUACCGCAGAACCACAGAUCAUCAGAGCUAGAAAGGCCUUUCUUUACCCGGCUCCUUCCUUGAAUAUGGGAGUCCCAAAGGUGCCAGGCUGUCAGGCCGCCUUCCCACCCCAACCAGUUAAUACCUAAAAGGGGCUCUGGCCAUGGUUCAGUGCCCUUUGACUCUGUAGUGUGCUGUUUGUUGUUCCUCGAUAGGCAGAAGUCAGUGGCUACCUUCCUGAUGUAGACUUGAACAAACUGUUAAGUGGUGAGCUGGGAGGAGACCUGAUGGGGCGGGGCCCCGAGCACUGCAGUGUCCAAGCCAGAGACUGAUAAAGGACUAAAGGAGAAGGCUACUACGUCACUCCACUGUUUUUCUUAAGGUUGGUAUUGUUGGAGUUGGAGUCUUGCAAUGCAAGAACCCAGACAGGCCUUGAACUGGAGAGAGCAUCCUGACACUGGCCACACCACCACCACCACCAAGUUUUAUUUUUCCUUCGCAGAUUGUGUUGUUUUGUUGAGAUGGUGUCUCAUGCGGCCCAGGCUGAUGGCGAACUCCAUAGAUUGCGGAGGAUCACGGCCUUGAACUUCUGACAUUCUUGCCUCUGCUGUUGCAAUUGUAGCUUGGGGCCACCGUGCCAGGUUUGCAGUGCUGGAGAUCAACCCCUAGGCUCCCAGUGCUCGCUAACAGGGAAGCUUCCACCAACUGAGCCACACACCCAGCCUUCAGGAGGUUGUUUUGCUUGUCCCAUCUCACUGCACUCACCACAUACCUAGGUGGCAACACUCUGCUACAGGCCUUCUUCCCCUGCUCCCUGGUUCUGAGAUUUGACCGAUGUACAGAUUGUAGGGUGACCAUCAAGAUAAACAUGUGGGACAGUUUCAUUGUCCAAAGCAAACACACACACNNNNNNNNNNNNNNNNCACCCCCACCCCAUUCUGCCCUUGCCCACGCUCUCCUGGGCUCUCUGGCCCCUGGCCACUUUUCCUUUUCUAUCUCUGGGUCCUCCCUUCGUCUCUACUUUUCCUUUAAACAUUGGUGUGCUUCCUCUGCCUGAUGCUCUCCUCCAGCUACCCCCUCUCUGGAUGACCUUCCUAGCAGGAUGAGUUUAAAUACCACCCACAUGCUGAUGCUGCUCCAAAUCUCCUCCGGCCCUGACCUUGCCCGAGUUCCAGGCUCUGCACAGUAUCCUUUCUCUAUACAUCUCUGUUUACAUUUCCUAGAGGUAUUCCGGAUGUGGACGCAACACUGCCAAAGCCACACACAUACUAUUCUCCCCUACAUUUGAACCUCUUUUUGGAAUCUUCAUCAGUGAAGAGCCUUAGCCAGCCUGGAGGCAAUGUGGCUGAACUCUGCCCUUACCGUGUGCAACUCUGUAGAAUCCACCUUGAAAAUUUUGCUCAAAACUGUCUUAUUAUUAUUUCUCAAUUUAAAUUUAUUACAUUUUAAAAGUUUUAUUUCCAUGGUAUGUGUGUGCAUGUGUGAUCAUAGGACAGCUUUCAGGAAUCUGUUCUCGCUUUCUCCUAGGUUGCAGAGGUUGAAUUUAGCUAGUCAGGGUCAGGCUUCAUCAGCAAAAAUGUAUACCCAAUGGACCAUCAAAGCCUUCUCUCCUGCUACAGUAUAUCAGACCUCUUGCACCUGAGGCCAGGGGAUGGUCUCCCACAGCUGCCCACGAGGACUCUUAGUCCAUUUAUAUGCCUGGGAAGCUUUCCCACACUUUUCUAACCAGGUCAGAUGGCUCUCAAUAGACACUUAACCCACGGGAAGGUCCUCCGUGUACCUUACCUUGUGUGACCAUUUGCUUUAUCAUCCGUCACUGCCAAGCCACGAGCUCCCGUCCAGUUUGCUCUCCUUGUACCCAGUACAGUACCUGCUAGUUCAUGGCUGACGAUAAAUAAUUUUGGUGGUGGACAGAUUGAUAAAUGGGUGAAUGCUGCUGUCCAAUUUCACCCUAGGAUCUGUUUUGUGUGGUCAUGUGCAGAAGUCAAACUGACUGCAGUUUCCCCUUAAUGGUGUUAGCCCUUUAUAUUGGUCUCCUAACAUAGAAAAUGUUAUUUGCAUUCUUCUUUUUCUUUUUUCUUUUCUUUUCCUUUUUUUUUUCCUUUUCCAUUUUCUGGAACAGUAUGUUAAAGACUAUUAAUUAGGCCUGGACUGAUGAUACACACCAGCAAUUGGGAGGCAGAGGCAGGAGGAUCACUGUAAGUUCAGGGUUAGCCUUGUCUGCCUAGUAAGUCCCAGAGCAGAAAAGAAUACAUAAUAAAACCCUGUCUC